GAUGAACGCUGGCGGCGUGCCUAAUACAUGCAAGUCGAGCGAAUGGAUUAAGAGCUUGCUCUUAUGAAGUUAGCGGCGGACGGGUGAGUAACACGUGGGUAACCUGCCCAUAAGACUGGGAUAACUCCGGGAAACCGGGGCUAAUACCGGAUAACAUUUUGAACCGCAUGGUUCGAAAUUGAAAGGCGGCUUCGGCUGUCACUUAUGGAUGGACCCGCGUCGCAUUAGCUAGUUGGUGAGGUAACGGCUCACCAAGGCAACGAUGCGUAGCUGACCUGAGAGGGUGCUCGGCCACACUGGGACUGAGACACGGCCCAGACUCCUACGGGAGGCAGCAGUAGGGAAUCUUCCGCAAUGGACGAAAGUCUGACGGAGCAACGCCGCGUGAGUGAUGAAGGCUUUCGGGGCGUAAAACUCUGUUGUUAGGGAAGAACAAGUGCUAGUUGAAUAAGCUGGCACCUUGACGGUACCUAACCAGAAAGCCACGGCUAACUACGUGCCAGCCGCCGCCGCGG
rnacentral:rRNA from 1 species